GUCUUGCUAGAGGCCGCUACCGACUAUUGGGCCAAGUAGGAGUACUCGGGACAUGUCUAUACGUAUCCGAACCCAAAGGGUCACACACUUAAGGGGCUGGAAGCCCAAUUCGGAUGUGAUCCGAGUUGGAUUAGAUUUAGAAGUACUAAUGGGCCUCGGACCCAGAGGCCCGUUAGGAACCUCUAUAAAUAGAGGGGUGGGGGCGCCCUAGGGUUUACAUCUUUUUGGGGAAACUCAUCCGCCGCGCCUCCCACGCCCUUGCCUGUUGCAACUCACGGAUCUAGCAGUCCGG
rnacentral:lncRNA from 1 species